UACGGAGGGUGCAAGCAUUAUCCGGAAUCACUGGGUUUAAAGGGUGCGUAGGCGGCUUAAUAAGUCAGUGGUGAAAGGCUGUGGCUUAACCAUGGAAUUGCCAUUGAUACUGUUGAGCUUGAAUCAGGUUGAGGUUGGCGGAAUGUGACAUGUAGCGGUGAAAUGCUUAGAUAUGUCAUGGAACACCGAUUGCGAAGGCAGCUGACUGGACCUGUAUUGACGCUGAGGCACGAAAGCGUGGGGAGCGAACAGG
rnacentral:misc_RNA from 1 species